rnacentral:rRNA from 1 species
CUACGGGUCGCUGCAGUGAGGAAUAUUGCACAAUGGGGGGAACCCUGAUGCAGCAACGCCGCGUGGAGGAUGACGCAUUUCGGUGUGUAAACUCCUUUUAUAUGUCAAGAAAAUGACGGUAGCAUAUGAAUAAGCACCGGCUAACUCCGUGCCAGCAGCCGCGGUAUACGGAGGGUGCAAGCGUUACUCGGAAUCACUGGGCGUAAAGGACGCGUAGGCGGGUGGGAAAGUCAGGUGUGAAAUCCUACAGCUUAACUGUAGAACUGCACUUGAAACUUCUAAUCUAGAGUAUGGGAGGGGGAGAUGGAAUUAGUGGUGUAGGGGUAAAAUCCGUAGAUAUCACUAGGAAUACCUAAAGCGAAGGCAAUCUCCUGGAACAUUACUGACGCUAAGGCGUGAAAGCGUGGGGAGCAAACAGGAUUAGAUACCCCCGUAGUC